ACGAGAAAAUAACAUUUACCAUUCAUUAAGUGGAAGUGGAUCAUCAUAAAGGUCUUCAUCCUUGUAGUCUUCACGUUCAGUAGGCUGCUUGGGAGGAGGAAGAGGAGGAGUGGGUCUUGCUAUCUCAGGAGCGGCAGAGGUGGAAGAAAGUCCAUCGGAUAAACUGCUUCCCUAGAAAUCCUCUCCAGUAUCCUUGCCUCCACGACUUUGGGACACGUUGACCAUGAGGAGGAGCUGGUCAAUGAUGGACAGGAGUCCAGAUUAGCAGAGAUGUGGUAAUAAGGAUACUGACGCGUAAAUACUUGAAAUAUCCAAUAGGAAGCAUUCCACCUUUGUGCAAAUGUGAACCACAUCUCACCAAGUUCAGGCCAAGGCUGCCACCAGUGACGUUUUGAAAGAGGAAAAAAAAAAAGGUAGAGGAGAGAAACAGAGAAGCAAGGGUUGCAGAAGAGAGCAGAGGCCGCAAAAACAGCAGCAACGUGUCCCUUGUAUUCUGUUUCCUUGUAAAGCUAUGAAGCACAUUAAGGAGACACUUCAUUUUUUGAGGAUUCAUGUUCUUGUUUAUAUUAUAAUAAACAUGACACAUGUUCUUUCUAAAAAUUUAGGCAAUGCAUUCAUGCACAUAAAAGUAAAACAAAAUCACCUAUAAUCCUACCACACGCAGAUCAGCACUUGUUCAUCUUUUCACAGGGAUCCUAAGAAUAUCCUGUUCUCUAUAGAAUAUAGUUAAUUUCUGUUACCUAAUAACUAACUGGUAACCAUUUUAAAAUUGUUCAGUUUUACAUUAUGCUAGAAAAAAGGAGCCGUCACUCUAGGUGACAUUUCUGUAUAUUGGUUCAUUCAUUCAAUGAGGAUGUUUUAAGUACCUAC